GAUGAACGCUGGCGGCGUGCCUAAUACAUGCAAGUCGAGCGAACAGACGAGGAGCUUGCUCCUCUGACGUUAGCGGCGGACGGGUGAGUAACACGUGGAUAACCUACCUAUAAGACUGGGAUAACUUCGGGAAACCGGAUCUAAUACCGUAUAAUAUAUUGAACCGCAUGGUUCAAUAGUGAAAGACGGUUUUGCUGUCACUUCUCGAUGGAUCUGCGCCGCAUUAGCUAGUUGGUAAGGUAACGGCUUACCAAGGCAACGAUGCGUAGCUGACCUGAGAGGGGGAUCGGCCACACUGGAGCUGAGACACGGUCCAGACUCCUACGGGAGGGAGCAGUAGGGAAUCUGCCGCAAUGGGCGAAAGCCUGACGGAGCAAGGGCGCGUGAGUGAUGAAGGUCUUCGGAUCGGAAAACUCUGUUAUGAGGGAAGAACAAAUGUGGAAGUAAAUAUGCACGGCGUGACGGUACCUAAUCAGAAAGCCACGGCUAACUACGUG
rnacentral:rRNA from 1 species